UUCUUGGUCAUUUUAGAGGAAGUAAAAGUCGUAACAAGGUUUCCGUAGGUGAACCUGCGGAAGGAUCAUUAACGAUGCAAUGGAAUUACACACAUCCCACUGUGCACCACGGUGUGGGGGGUUUGCCCCCCCUCGCACGUCCCCUUUUACUCAUCAAACGCCUGUAACCGAAAGUAGAAGUGAGGUCACGCUCCUCGGAGCGUGUCCGUGCGAACGCAAUACAACUUUCAACAACGGAUCUCUUGGCUUUUGCAUCGAUGAAGGACGCCGCGAAAGCGCGAAACGUAAUGUGAAUUGCAGAAUUCAGUGAAUCAUCGAAUCUUUGAACGCAUCUUGCGCUCCUUGGUAUUCCGAGGAGCAUGCCUGUUUGAGUGUCGUGAAGCCCCUCGACCCCCUGGGCCUUUUCGUUGGCCCUCGGUGUGUCGGAUUUGGACGUUUGUCGUCUUUGCGUGAGAUGGCUCGUCUUUAAAUGCAUCAGCUGCCCCUCCAUCACUUGUGGACAACGGUGUGAUAAGUGAAAAUGACUCACUCGCGUCCGUAGUGACCCUUUGCGGGGAGGUGGCUCACAGUCGUCCCCGUCCGGGACAAAAAGAUCUCUAGUCUGACCUCAAAUCAGGUAGGACCACCCGCUGAACUUAAGCAUAUCAAUAAAGCGGGAGGAA
rnacentral:rRNA from 1 species